rnacentral:rRNA from 1 species
CCCUGUGCCGCCGUAAACACAAUGAGUACCCCGCCUGGGGAGUACGGUCGCAAGAUUAAAACUCAANNNAAUUGACGGGGACCCGCACAAGCAGCGGAGCAUGUGGUUUAAUUCGAAGCAACGCGAAGAACCUUACCUAGACUUGACAUCUCCUGCAUUACCUUUAAUCGGGGAAGCUCCUUCGGGAGCAGGAAGACAGGUGGUGCAUGGUUGUCGUCAGCUCGUGUCGUGAGAUGUUGGGUUAAGUCCCGCAACGAGCGCAACCCCUAUUGUUAGUUGCUACCAUUAAGUUGAGCACUCUAGCAAGACUGCCGUGGUUAACGCGGAGGAAGGUGGGGAUGACGUCAAAUCAUCAUGCCCCUUAUGUCUAGGGCUACACACGUGCUACAAUGGCGAGUACAAAAAGAAGCGAAAUCGUGAGGUGGAGCAAAACUUUUAAAACUCGUCUCAGUUCGGAUUGCAGGCUGAAACUCGCCUGCAUGAAGCCGGAGUUGCUAGUAAUCGCGAAUCAGAAUGUCGCGGUGAAUACGUUCCCGGGUCUUGUACACACCGCCCGUCACACCAUGAGAGUUGGCAAUACCCGAAGUCCGUAGCCUAACCUUUUAGGAGGGCGCGGCCGAAGGUAGGGUCAGCGAUUGGGGUGAAGUCGUAACAAGGUAACC